rnacentral:rRNA from 1 species
GACGUAGGGUCCAAGCGUUGUCCGGAUUUACUGGGCGUAAAGAGCGCGUAGGCGGCUCGUUAAGUGUGAAGUGAAAUCUCCAGGGCUCAACCCGGAAACUGCUUUACAUACUGGCGAGCUGGAGUGAUGCAGAGGUUUGUGGAAUUCCUGGUGUAACGGUGAAAUGUGUUGAUAUCAGGAGGAACACCCAUGGCGAAGGCAGCAAACUGGUCAUCAACUGACGCUGAGGCGCGAAAGCGUGGGUAGCAAACAGG